rnacentral:lncRNA from 1 species
UUGGUGGACCUGGUCGCGCUGUGCCGGGUGUGACACUACGGAGAGCAGAUUACAUUAUCAAAAGCACCAAGUUGAAACAUUUGCAAGGUGUGCAUCAUUUCACAAUUAUUGGCAAUGGUUCAAUGGUUUCAUCUGCUUUGAACGGUUUCUUCUCUAUCAUUAAGAGACCUGUUAUGAAUAUGUAGCUGGAGACACUUUCCCAAAUGUAAACAAGGUUUGAAUACUUUUCCUAAAGUCUGCUGUUGUAAACAUUGUCUAUGUUUAAUAACAUUAAAAUAUUAUGAUAUAAACAUUGUACAUGUUUAAUAAUAUUAAAAUAUGAUAUAAACAUUG